rnacentral:sRNA from 1 species
GGUGGUGAAGGUACAGGCCGUUGGGGCGGCUCAGAGGCAGGUGACUAUGAAAGGCUUAUAUUUCCAACAGAGUUCCACAGAUGAAGAAAUAACAUUUGUAUUUCAAGAAAAGGAAGAUCUUCCUGUUACAGAGGAUAACUUUGUGAAACUUCAAGUUAAAGCUUGUGCUCUGAGCCAGAUAAAUACAAAGCUUCUGGCAGAAAUGAAGAUGAAAAAGGAUUUAUUUCCUGUUGGGAGAGAAAUUGCUGGAAUUGUAUUAGAUGUUGGAAGCAAGGUAUCAUUCUUUCAACCAGAUGAUGAAGUAGUUGGAAUUUUGCCCCUGGACUCUGAAGACCCUGGACUUUGUGAAGUUGUUAGAGUACAUGAGCAUUACUUGGUUCAUAAACCAGAAAAGGUCACAUGGACGGAAGCAGCAGGAAGCAUUCGGGAUGGAGUGCGUGCCUAUACAGCUCUGCAUUAUCUUUCUCAUCUCUCUCCUGGAAAAUCAGUGCUGAUAAUGGAUGGAGCAAGUGUAGGUGCUAAUGGUUUUGUUAAGAAACAGACAAGCAUACAGUAAACUUAGGAAAUUUAGCAAUGAGCCAUCCAUUUGCUAAUAUAAUUCUUUGCCAAUAGCUUAUUGAUUGACUUUUUUUCCAGUGUCCUAUUUUGUUAUAAUAAGCAGCUUUUAUCAAUAGAAGAUCAAAGUUAGAUUUAGUGUGAUUAGUUUAUGACUUUGAAUCUGCUGGUACAUUAAAAAGACAAGCCAUUUUUAUUCAUUCC